GCAUCGUACUGUUGAGGGAGGCCUCCCCCAACAGACGCAAGCAUCAAACAUAAGCAUAAAUUUAUCAGCGUAAAGCAUUCAAGCGUAAAUAAGCGUAAUCAAGCGUAAAUUACAUAGGGCGUAAAUAGUAUAAACAGCAUAGCGUAAAUCAUUUAACGUGCAGCAUAAUAAAGCUUAACUCAUUUAAGCGUAAUAAAGCAUACCACACUUGAAGAUCCAAUUUGCAUUUUAAAGCAUAACACUUGCAUAGCAUUUUAU
rnacentral:lncRNA from 1 species